AUGGUGGACGUGUCGCGCGUGCAGAAGGAGCUGACGGAGUGCAACCGGGACUCGGACAUCUCCGGCGUCUCCAUCGCGCUCCACGACGGCGGCUCCAGCAUCACCCACCUCACCGGCACCAUCGCCGGGCCCCGCGACAGCCCCUACGAGGGCGGCACCUUCCGCAUCGACAUCCGCCUGCCAGGUGGCUACCCCUUUGAGCCUCCUAAGAUGCAGUUCAUCACCAAAGUAUGGCACCCGAAUAUUAGCAGCCAAAAUGGAGCAAUUUGCUUGGACAUACUGAAAGAUCAGUGGAGCCCAGCCCUUACCUUGAAGACAGCAUUGCUAUCCCUUCAAGCUCUUCUUUCUGCUCCUGCCCCUGAUGAUCCUCAGGAUGCUGUUGUUGCACAACAGUAUCUGCGUGACAAGGCCACAUUUGUCAGUACUGCUCGCUAUUGGACCGAGGCAUUUGCAAAGAGUGACUCCACCGGCAUGGAAGAAAAGGUGCAGAAGCUGGUCGAGAUGGGCUUCCCCGAGGAUAUGGUGAGAAGCGCCCUGAUGAGUGUGAACGGCGACGAGAACAUGGCUCUCGAGAAGCUCUGCUCUGGCUGA
rnacentral:rRNA from 1 species